rnacentral:pre_miRNA from 1 species
UCUUAUGGAUGAGCAAACAAAGUUGUUUCUUGAGAUGGAAUCUAUUCUGGGUAGGAUGCUGUGAA